CGGCGGGGGCGCGCGCGACGGUCCCCUCGGUCUGGCAAGCGGCUAGAUUACGUGAACCAUGCCAGAAGACUGGCUGAAGAUGACUGGACAGGGAUGGAGAGUGAGGAGGAAGAUAAGAAAGAUGACGAAGAAAUGGACAUUGACACUCAAGAAGUUACCAAAACGCUAUGCUAAUCAAUUGAUGCUUUCUGAGUGGUUAAUUGAUGUGCCUUCAGAUUUGGGGCAGUAAUGGAUUGUGGUCGUGUGCCCUGUUGGAAAAAGAUCCCUUAUCGUAGCCUCCAGGGGUUCUACCAGUGCCUACACCAAGAGUGGCUACUGUGUCAACAGGUUUCCCUCCCUUCUGCCAGGAGGCAACAGGCGAAACUCAACAGCAAAAGACUACACCAUUCUAGAUUGCAUUUACAGUGAGGUAAACCAAACCUACUACAUACUGGAUGUGAUGUGCUGGCGGGGACACCCAUUUUAUGAUUGCCAGACUGAUUUCCGAUUCUACUGGAUACAUUCAAAGUUACCAGAAGAAGAAGGACUGAGAGAGAAAACCAAGCUCAAUCCUUUUAAAUUUGUGGGGCUAAAGAAUUUCCCUUGUACUCCUGAAAGCCUGUGUGAUGUGCUAUCUAUGGAUUUCCCUUUUGAGGUAGAUGGACUUCUCUUCUACCACAAGCAGACCCACUACAGCCCCGGAUGUACUCCCUUGGUGGGCUGGCUACGCCCCUACAUGGUGUCAGAUGUCCUCGGUGUAGCUGUACCAGCUGGCCCGCUGACCACCAAGCCAGAAUAUGCUGGACACCAGCUCCAGCAGAUUAUGGAGCACAAGAAGAGCCAGAAGGAGAAACUUACACACAAGGCCUCCGAGAGUGGGCACUAUGAGUUGGAGCACCUGUUUACCCCCAAAUUGAAGAGUUCUCCCCACAGCCCAGACCAACCUGGAAACCUCAUGGAGAAUUAAAGUGGGAAGCCUCCUUAAGAAGCUACAGGAUGGUACCUGGCCCCAAAGGGAGUACUGGGGAGGAGGACAGUAAUAACAGGUGACUUCAUUCUUUAGAGCGAACCUGGCCAGAAAGAGUUUAUCUAUAAUUUGAAAUGCUGGCUCAA